AAGUCUGAUCCAGCCAUGCGGCGUGCGGGAAAAGGCUUCGGGUUGUAAACCGCUUUUGUCAGGGAAGAAACGGCUCGCUCUAAUACAGUGGGCUAAUGACGGUACCUGAAGAAUAAGCACCGGCUAACUACGUGCCAGCAGCCGCGGUAAUACGUAGGGUGCAAGCGUUAAUCGGAAUUACUGGGCGUAAAGCGUGCGCAGGCGGUUAUGCAAGACAGAGGUGAAAUCCCCGGGCUCAACCUGGGAACUGCCUUUGUGACUGCAUAGCUAGAGUACGGUAGAGGGGGAUGGAAUUCCGCGUGUAGCAGUGAAAUGCGUAGAUAUGCGGAGGAACACCGAUGGCGAAGGCAAUCCCCUGGACCUGUACUGACGCUCAUGCACGAAAGCGUGGGGAGCAAACAGGAUUAGAUACCCUGGUAGUCCACGCCCUAAACGAUGUCAACUGGUUGUUGGGAGGGUUUCUUCUCAGUAACGAAGCUAACGCGUGAAG
rnacentral:rRNA from 1 species